rnacentral:rRNA from 1 species
UACGUAGGGGGCGAGCGUUAUCCGGAUUCACUGGGCGUAAAGGGAGCGCAGGCGGCACGGCAAGUCCGGUGUGAAAGCCCGGGGCCCAACCCCGGGACUGCUCUGGAAACUGUUAAGCUGGAGUGCGGGAGGGGCGGGCGGAAUUCCUGGUGUAGCGGUGAAAUGCGUAGAUAUCAGGAGGAACACCGGCGGCGAAGGCGGCCUGCUGGACCGUGACUGACGUUGAGGCUCGAAAGCGUGGGGAGCAAACAGG